rnacentral:lncRNA from 1 species
UCCCAACAUAAAACUAGAAAAGUAUUUUAACAAACUAAAUACUGUGUACCUCUCCGAUAUGAAAACUGAUAGAAGUGUUAUUUCACGUAGCGUGUGUUUUAUAACAUUUUUAUUAUAAUUUUUCCUAACACACUUUUCUUUCCAGUCAAAUGCAACUCAUGUGAACGCAACGCAAGACGACGACUACGUUUUUUCGCCCCUCCAACUCAACCAACGCUACCCACAACACGCAAACGCUGCUGCUAGUGGAGGGACAGAAGAAUCCUCGAGUUCGAGUCAGCUCUUCGACGCACAGUGCAUUUGCAGCAUAGAUAUUGGAUGAUAACCAACCAGCAAAUUCCUGCAACGCCUGGCACCACGAGACUUGAGAAAAAUGGACUUUUCAACAUGCUUAUCUCUUGCACAAUAUUCCUGCGAUUAUCUUUGUGGCAUAAACGAUAAACUGUGUAGUGUAGUGAACUUGAGUUGUGCUUACAUUGACUGUUUUAAUAAUUAAUAAUGUUGCUGAUUAAGCAGUUUGGUGAAAUAUACUGAUUUAUUCAACAAGUGAACCCACAUCUUCGUCAGUUAAAUGAUGCUUAAAACAAAUUGCACCACGGAUCACUGACUGUCAUUUCUGGCCGAUGGCAUUUUAACG